UACGUAGGGGGCGAGCGUUGUCCGGAAUCAUUGGGCGUAAAGCGCGUGUAGGCGGCCCGGUAAGUCCGCUGUGAAAGUCCAGGGCUCAACCCUGGGAUGCCGGUGGAUACUGUCGGGCUCGAGUCCGGAAGAGGCGAGUGGAAUUCCUGGUGUAGCGGUGAAAUGCGCAGAUAUCAGGAGGAACACCAAUGGCGAAGGCAGCUCGCUGGACGGUACUGACGCUAAGGCGCGAAAGCGUGGGAGCGAACGAG
rnacentral:rRNA from 1 species